CACGUUGCCGUCCUGAACCAAACUGCCAGGAAGGAAGCGGGGAGAAGGAUAUGGGGUGACCACAGGCACAGUCUGCCAUGAAGCUGCCUGGAUUGGGAUUUUUUCCAAGAGCCCUCCUCAGAGAUGCCUGGGGCGGGCUGUAGGGCACCCGACCUGUGGGAGGACGGAGCCAUGCACUGGGCAGGAGAGUGAAGUCAGAUUGCUGCCCCAGUCCCUCAGCUACCUAGCUGGGACCCCUGGGCUAGGUGUAUCAGCAUCAUCCUGCAUAUCCCACCUCUCCGCAUGGACAGCACGGGGCCCCGGUCACACGGGCCUGCUCCUUCCUCUGGGCUGGGCCCAGCUUCCUCCAUGAGGACCUCCCCUCCACUCACCCUUCCCACCCAAAUCCUCAACUCCACUGGGCAGGCACUUCUUACGUUCUCCUGCGGUAUGAGCUCACGCUGUCUUUAACAGUGGUCUUCAAAGCGAGGUGGCCUGAUCAGCAGCAUCAACAUCACCUGGGAAUUCGCCAGCAAUGCACAUUCCCAGCCCUUGGAAUCAGGGACUCAGGGUGGGGGCAGCACUCUGUUUUAACAAGCCCUCCAGGUGAUUCCGAUGCACUCAAGUUGGAGAACCACGGGCACAUCAUGACUCUCAGGCUGUGAAGCAGUUUCUGGCCUGUUAGUGGCAACACAAAGACAGCUGGGAAAGGCAGAAGUAAAAGAAGGGCUUUCCUGGCCCCUCUGCCCUUCGGCACAGACCAGGCGAUAAUCCUGCAAAGAUGGAGACGUUGAGUCUGAGAAGAACUGUGGGAACUCGGAACCACCGAGGGGCUGUCCAAGACUUCCCAGUGUGGAUUUGGGAGCUGAGGUUGAGGCAGGAGAAAGUAUUUGUGAAUAGCAAGAGUGGAACUACAAGGCAAAUUUCCGGAACCCUUGAGCCCUGAGAACAGGACUGUCAGCGCUAAUAGCUCUGUGCACGGCAGGCUGGCCCACCCCAACCCUUUGUUGGGCCCAGGACAAGAGUACCAAUGGAGGCUCACCUCCCAUGUGGCUACAAAUUUAAAAGUUACAAAUCAAGCUAAAAAACUUAAAGAAACUGUGUCCUGUCCUUCUACUUUGACUGAUGAACCUUUAUAAAGAUGUGGUGGACUGGAAUAGGAGAUGCAGAGAGAACAGGCUCCCAUCUCAUAGCUUCCCUGCUUCUCUUCCCAUCCAGGCUCCAUCCCAUACUUUGAGGACCUCAUGCACAGAGGCUGUUCAUCAAGCUCAUUCUACACCUCCUGUGGACAGCACCCUCCUGACCACCUUUUGGAGGCAGGACCUGAAGAAGUCCAAACCUGGAAGCUGGCUCAGGGCUCUUUGGAAUGAGAAGCAUGGUCUAAAAGAUGCGUUAUGGGCUUUGGGCGAACACAGCCCCUUUCCCUGUGACUCUUCCCGCUGUGGGUGGGCUGUGGUCAGAAGAGGGCUUCAGCAGAGGCCUCUGAAGGCUUGUUUCUCAAAAUGUGGUCCCAGGACCAGCUGUGUGGGCCCCACCUGAGUGCUGGUUAGAACUGCAGCCUCACUCCACACCUCCUGAAUCAUGAUCUGUUUCUAACAAGAUCCCUAGGAGAUUCAUGUGCACAUCGAAGUUUAAAAAGCACUGCUCUAAAGCACAAAACCCAGGGCCAGGGUCCCUGUUGCCCCUGUCUAGGGGUACUGACAAUAGAUAUCAAUAAGUGGGUGCUCGACAAAUGCCAGCUAUCGCCUAAAGCAGGCCUGGUAGUUACCAGUUGGGGAUGCUGCCUGGCUCAUGGUGAUUUCAUUUCCUCUUUCUGUGGGGCCUCAGUGGUCUGUUUCCGCUGAUGGCCCUGAUGCUUGCCUGAGCUGAGUGGUCCAGUAGAAGACACCUGGCCCACAUUGGGUCAAUCAGGUGAUUCUCCCAGGAAUUUGACACUUAAGCCCCCCCAACGAGUAGUGAUGGUGACCAUCUUUCCUGCACCUGGGAUGUGCCAAGUGCGGUGCGGAGUGUUUUACAUACAGUAGAAUCCGAUCUGCGCAACCACCUCACCAGGUGCAUACCGUCCCUCUCCUGUUUCAGAUGCAGGGAUGGGGCUCGGAUGCUAGGUAACUCUCCAAAAGCUUGGCAGCCCUGGGAGAGCCGUAUGGCGCACAGACCAUGUGCACUAUUUCUGAGGCCCAGGUCCCCGCCCAGCUUCAUGGGAUAGGGCAGACCCACCCAGUUACAGGGCUGAGGGCUGUGGGAGUGAGACCCAGCUCUGUG